CACGGAUGUUAUGAGCACUGAUAGGAAGUGCACACAACUGAUUUAUUGCACACUAAAGAGGAGAUGGAGUGUGGGAAAGUGUGGUUAAGGACGACUGAGCGCCCGAUGCACCGUUGGAUUGCAGAGGCUUGGCAGGCUGGCAGGCGCACACACCUACCUAACACUUUACUGAGAACAAAGUGGCGGAAAGGGAGGUAAAGUUUUGGGAUGGCGGCGCGUCGGUCAGUCUGCCCACACAGAGUGAGUUGGCACAACCAAACCAAACCCAUCCAUCAGGAAAAGGUUCAGCAGGGUGAGACCGAAUACAUGAAGAAGAUUAAAUUCUGACACGGAUGCUUCAUCAGUCCUGUUUGGACGACAGAUGGCUGGUCUGUGCGUCCAAAGCUGGACUCACACUGCAGGGUGACCGCUAGCUUCCUGAAUCAUACUCAUGGCUUUGUGUCUUUCACACAUAGGUCACUUUUAUGUUAAU